UUUCUUCUCUUUAUCAGGUAGCGUCGUGUACCAUUUCUGAAGCCUUAACUUCCCCUGCCGACUGAACAGCAGGAUAAAGUGUAUCUAGAGUAAACAAAGCAACAUGGUUAACGCCAGGGCCAUGGCCAGAGAAGAACAGUCCUCUGCCCAUUGCCAGAAAUCUGGAGUCCUGGCCACGCAUCUCCAGUCUUGGUGUGACGUUUGGACAUGAUGUCAGUAAUGUCACAAACAAAGCAGCAGGUUCCUAGAAGAGGCAAUAAGGGGUGGUAGAACUUUGGAAAGGAGGCUUGACUAGUUUUACUAAAGAAAUCAGCAGACCAUGAAACACAGACAAUUGUGAUGGACAGACCUCAUUGAGCAGGGAUAUAUUAUAUUAAAUAAAGUAUAAUAUCUACACUGUUCUAAAA